CCUACGGGUGGCAGCAGUGGGGAAUAUUGGACAAUGGGGGCAACCCUGAUCCAGCCAUGCCGCGUGUGUGAAGAAGGCCCUCGGGUUGUAAAGCACUUUCAGUGAGGAAGAACGCCUGGUGGUUAAUACCCAUCAGGAAAGACAUCACUCACAGAAGAAGCACCGGCUAACUCCGUGCCAGCAGCCGCGGUAAUACGGAGGGUGCGAGCGUUAAUCGGAAUUACUGGGCGUAAAGCGCGCGUAGGUGGCUUGAUAAGCCGGUUGUGAAAGCCCCGGGCUCAACCUGGGAACGGCAUCCGGAACUGUCAAGCUAGAGGGCAGGAGAGGAAGGUAGAAUUCCCGGUGUAGCGGUGAAAUGCGUAGAGAUCGGGAGGAAUACCAGUGGCGAAGGCGGCCUUCUGGACUGACACUGACACUGAGGUGCGAAAGCGUGGGUAGCAAGCAGGAUUAGAUACCCCUGUAGUC
rnacentral:rRNA from 1 species